UCUGCCAAUAUCCAUUAGAAGGUAAAUGUGGACUUAGAGGCAGUUAGGCAACUCUGGUCAUUGUCAGAUGUGGUUGUUUUAGUUUGGAAUUCUGAUUUAGUUAUACUGUGGAAGAAUUUAAUCUUAAAAUCAUUUCAUUCAAUAUUUUGGCAAUACCAUAGGAAGAAAGCAUACCUAUUUAUUCCCAUCAAUAAGAAUACUUGUUUUAGAUAUAGAUUUUCUAAAUUGAAUUGUUAUUGUAGUUUUCACAAAUUUUGGUAUAGUAUUUCAAAGUAUAUUUUCAAACACAAUAGCCUAUAGCUUUUGGCAAUUCAUUGUUACUGUUUUUUAAAUCCUUUGCUGCCUUUGGAAGUUUUCUUGAACAGCAAUUGACCAACAGAUACCCAUCCUAGAAAUAAAAUUGAAGAUCUUACCAGUUCUUGGAGUAGUAGGUGGAGCAAUAUUUUCCUGUUCAAAUUAUUUCCAUGUUAUCCUCCAUGGUGGUGUUGGCAAGAAUGGAUCCACUAUAGCAGUAAGACAUAAAUUUCAUCAUCAUUCAGUAUUAAUUUUAUGAUAAAUUUUCUUAACACCCAGCUAUAGAGAUAAUAAAAAUAUGAUGAAUUUUAAAAAUAGGGAAGGAAACUAAAUAUCUUAAAAGAAUCCUUUUUAGGCACAUAAUACAAAAAGGCAUUUUUGAAACAGUUUAGACUGAUUUUACAGCAUUUUUCCUCUUUCUAUACAGCCUUUCUUAGAGUAGGCUUUGGUGGCAUUCCAUGUAAUCAUCUGCUGUUUAUUGUACAUAAUUAAGAGCUGCCAUUUGUUUUCUUCCUUAUUGUGCCUGGCCCUGAUAUAGGAGAGGAGGAGGAAGGAAUGAGUUCCUGACUGGAUGUCAGGAAAGCAGUCCAAAGUCAUGGUUUCACAUAUGGGACAAUUUAUUAUGCAUGAAGUAAAUUUAAUUGAAAUUCCAUCACUGAAAUACAUUUUUAAAACUACCCUAAUAUUUUAAAAGGUAAAAACUUCAGCCUCAGUUCUUGAGUGGGUACACCUUGUAUUUGUUG
ensembl:lncRNA